UACGUAGGGUGCGAGCGUUGUCCGGAAUUAUUGGGCGUAAAAGGGCUCGUAGGCGGUUUUGUCGCGUCGGGGAGUGAAAACUCAGGGCUUAACCCUGAGCCUGCUUCCGAUACGGGCAGACUAGAGGUAUGCAGGGGAGAACGGAAUUCCUGGUGUAGCGGUGAAAUGCGCAGAUAUCAGGAGGAACACCGGUGGCGAAGGCGGUUCUCUGGGCAUUACCUGACGCUGAGGAGCGAAAGUGUGGGGAGGCGAACAGGG
rnacentral:rRNA from 1 species